GUCCAAUGAACGCUCGUUUGGUUUAUUACGGUAUUAACGUAAAAGAUAACAUAUCCGAUACUUGGCGAGCAACGAUCAGGAACGAAUAAGCGCGAAGGUGGCCGAAAGAUGGCGAAGAGAGAGACGGUAGAGAAGGGGAUUUCGAUUAAUUAGCAAUCCAAGAUGUUGCAUUACGAGAGCAGAUGUAGAUGGUAAUCAAGAUUAUCCCUGAUUUGUUCUGCCGGUAAAUUGUGCCUUCGGAUUUUGCGACCAGCAUCUUCAUUAAUCCUGAUCUUUCGAAUGUUUCGAUUCAAUCUUAUUUGUUACGCGUACUGUGCACGUAAUAUGAGUGUAUCGAUAUCGAACUCGUAAUUUUGCGAUAUCGAUUAAUUAUCGUAGGCGAAUUCAGUUCAGUGGGAUGUGCACGUUGUUCGUGUUCGCGUUUCAUGUAGAAUUGUGAUUUUAUGUUAAAUUUUCUUGUGCAGAAGAUAGAAAAUAGAAAAUAGAAAAAGAACGAGUGAUUUGAGGUGAAAUCAACGAUGGGGAUAGCGAAGAACGAAUAUAUAAAUAAGAUUAGAGAAUCAUCAGAAAUCAACGGAUACUAAUUGCUAAUUACCAACCACUCGAUCGAUGAAUUUUUAUAAUAAGGCUAGAAUCGCACAAAGCAAACGAGAAGAAUAAUCUCCAGGUUUGACUCAAUUGGAAAAUUCGAAAUGGGAUGGUUUAUUGACCCGGUAUAUUUAUAGAGAAGGCAGUUUCCGAUGCUAUGCGAAUGUUGUUUCACCGGGAAUCGAGAGACUGUAAAUUGAGUGGAACCGGAUGAGACGAUUAAGAGACGAUUCUCUACGAUCGACGAAACUGGAAUGAAAUAUACAUGGUUAGGUUCGUAAAGUUGGAUCGGAUACGAAACGUGGAAACGCCGUUUCGAUGGGCGAGAGCCAUUUUGUUUUGGAAAAUGGGCAGUUGUAUAACUCGGGCUGUUAAGGAGUUAGCGGAUAAACUGUUUACGAUCUCUGUGAUAGUAUUUAACUGGAAAAGCUGGACCGCCGUGUUUCUAUCGUGUUUGUCAAUAGAGAAUACAGCUCUAUAAUUCCAGGUUAGGCGAAUCGGAUUAAUCUUAUUUGAAUAAAUAUGAGAUGUCUACGAAAGAAUCAAGGAUCGAUACAUUUCAAGGAAAUAUUAUGUAUUUUAAAAUUUAUUUACCAUGUAUAUUUUAAGGUAUAAAUCAAAAAGGUUGUAGCAUAAAAUAUUAAUAUUCAUAAAUCAUUGAAGG